rnacentral:lncRNA from 1 species
ACUCCUGAAAUGUUGUUGUGGGCAAGGUCCAAGUUUUGAAGAUAUUGAAGAUCACAAAUUUUAUGAGGAAUAUGACCAUCAAAGUUAUUUGAUCGAAGGCUUAGAACCACAAGGUUUGAGAGCUUAUCACCAAUCUAUGCUGGUACACUUCCACUGAAAUGAUUUUCACUAAGAUCAAGAAUAAUUAAACCACCAGAAUUUCGCAACGUGGAGGGUAAUUCUCCAAACAUGCUAUUAUUUCGAAGGUUUAACAUAAAAAAAAUUCUAAUCCCAAACUAGGUGGGAUAAAGAAAGAAAAGCUAAAGGAGAAAAAAGAGAAGGAAAAGAAAAUGGAAAACACGGAAUUUGAGUAAGAAAAGCAAAAUUUUGAUAACGAAUACUACUUCAACUUUUAUUGAAAAUAAAUCAAUUUAUCAUGGAGUCAGAUUUUUUUUUUUGGGUGGCCAAAAUUAAACUAUAUGUUUUUAUGAUAAUAAAAAUACAAUUCACUAUUUUAAUAGCCUAUAUCUUUAUAAUUUUUAGAGAAUUAAAUUAAAUUUUUAUUAUUUUUAAGAGGGCCAAAAUAUAAUUUUACUAUUAUCAAUGCCGAGCCCCUCACUGAUAUGGAUGAAAAUGUAAAGAAGUGUUUACUUGUGAUUGGAGAACUGAAGUUUCUUUUUAAUACUUAAAAUAUUACUUUUUAAAACUUCAACUUAAAUAUGUUUUUCUCAAUCUCAAAAAUUAUUUUUCUUGCCGUAAUCAGGAUAUUCAUCAUUGAUAUCACUGAUUAAUUUUCUAACCGUGGAUAUUUUCUGAAAAGUUAAAUGAGUGACAAUAAAAUGUGUUCCAUUUUCGUGAGCGGGAUUAAAAAUUAUUUUUUUCGGGUAUCCAUCAUCGGUAAUAGUGAUUAAUCUUCUAACUGUGGAUGCUUUCCGAAAAGAUAAAUGAUUGACAAUAAAAUGUAUUCCAUUUUCGUGAAUGGAGAUUAAUAAUUAUUUUUUAAUUAUUUGAAAAGGUUGUUUUAGUUAGGGGAGAGGAUUAUUAUUAUCGGAUUUAAAAACUAAAUCAUAAAGUGUCAAUAUAGAACUUCAAUCUAUAUUACUUGAUACUAUUUUGGUACCACGUACUGAUCGAAACAUUCCGUUCUGAUAGUAAAUUGAAGAUAUAAAAAUGCAAUUUCACCGUUUUAAUAGCUUAUAUCUUUAUAAUUGUUAAAGGAUUAAAUCAAAAUUUUAUCAUUUUCUAAGGAGACCAAAGUGCAAUUUUACUUUUACUAAUUUAAAAUUUUAAAAAUUUUAAAAGAUAUAAAUAGAAAAUUUUCCAGGUGCCUGCCCCUAGCUAAUGUAGCCCUCGUUAAAAACUCGAUUCACUUUGCUCCAAACUCAAUUUUUAAAAACAAAAAACCACCCUAUAUGGCUGGGGUGGUUGGAAUCCCGAUAACUUGAAAGGAUUUUUGUCGGGUAUGUAUUUCACAUGAGUAUAUUAAAACUUUUAUAAAUUGUUUCAUAUAUUUUUGAAAGAUUCUAUGCUCAUUGUCAUGUUUGAAUGUGUUGAAUCCAAAUAUAUACUUUAAAAUAAAAAAUCGAAAUAAUUCUAACCAGUAUACCAAUUUGAUCCAUAAAAGCUAACAAAGAAGAGAAAACAAUCAAGUACAUUAAAUUUUACAAACUUGAAAUUAACUUGGAGAUUUAAAUUCCAACAUUUACGACUUCUUUUAUUUUCCAGACCAAAUGCAAAAACGACGACGUUUUGAGGUUGUUACCUGUCUUACUGAGAAGGGUGAGUCCAAGGAUGAAGAGCAACAGCUGAACUCUUUUUUUGUUGAGAUCCAUUGGCAACAGUUAGAAAAUGACAGAAAAAAAUUGGCUAAUCCUAUUUACUACUAUUUUUGUUACUCCUAAUUUGAAGGAUCAAGGAGGAAGAAGACCAGAUCUAUGGCUGCCACGUCUACUCAUUUAUUAAGCUAAGCAGCUGAUGGAAUUUAUCAAACAACUUUUUUUGCUGAAAUUAUUUUCAUUGUAAAUUAAAGAAAUACAGCAAAACAUAUUCAUACAUAAUCAAAACACACUUUGAUCCAAUCUCCAGUAAAUUAUACCAACUUUAGACCAACAUGUUUACACAUGUUUUUUUCCCAUCAAACUACAUACCCAUAGUAGCCCAAGACACAUACAGCUUUCGUCCAACAUGGUCCAACUUUCGAUAGUAUGCAUGCCUCCAAGACCUGAUGAAAAACAAGGGAGCCACUACACCCCAAAAUCCCAUUACAAAGCCGAGAACUAUGCUGACAUAAAGCCAAUUCACUUUACUUCCUUCCCUGCUACUUCCAUUAUUUGCGACGUCAAUUGGAAUACCUUUUGAGGUGCAGUUCUUAGUGAGAGGAGGUCCGCAAAGAUGAUUGCCCACGUAAGACAAGUUUUCAAAGCUUUGAAGCUGAGUGCUUGUUGGGAUUUGUCCUGUCAAGUUGUUGUAGGACACAUUGAAGUGAUUCAAGAAAUUCAAAUUGGAGAAACUUGGAGGGAUUUCACCAUUUAGUCGAUUCAUGGACAAAUCAAGAGAUUCCAUUAACUCCAUCUUGCCAAUGCUGUUUGGUAUAUUUCCUGUUAGGAGAUUCCCUGAAAAAUUUAAAGACAGUAGUCCAACGAGACUACCAAUUUCUUUGGGGAUCUCUCCGGUGAGACUGUUAGCUGAAAGGUCCAUGCUAGUAACAAGUCCUAAUGUUCUACCAUAUUCAUCCUCUCGUCCUUUCAACACCAAUAAUGCGUUCAAAAAAAAUGAGGCUGCAUAUACAGACUCCGCAAGAACAAAAUUAUUCCUUUUGUUUGCUGUGGCCAUUGCACUUAAAUUAUUAAAACAUUUUGGAAUAACUCCAGAAAUGUUGUUGUGGGCAAGGUCCAAGUUUUGAAGAAACUGAAGAUCACAAAUUUUAUGAGGAAUACGUCCAUCAAAGUUAUUUGAUCGAAGGCUUAGAAUCACAAGGUUUGAGAGCUUAUCACCAAUCCAUGCUGGUACACUUCCACUGAAAUGAUUUUCACUAAGAUCAAACAUAAUCAAAUUUGGAGAAUUUUGC